rnacentral:lncRNA from 1 species
GGUUCCUUGACUUCUGUCGUUCGAUGACCGUUGUGGUCGAUGUACCCUAGAGGGGUUGGAUUGUUGGCUAGAGGCCGACGGUAGUUAUGGAUUCUAUUGAUACACCCUGAUGACCUAUUCGUCGAUUCGUUGUGCAUAUAUCCUAGUUGAUUUGAGUGGUCAGUCCUUGUGGUUCAUUGAGCAGUAUUUGCAUAUGUUUGAGAGGAUGUUGAUGUUGUCCCAUCCUAGUUGACCUGAGUGGUCAGUUCUUAUGCUUCAUUACAGUUGAUGACCUAUACGGUCGAUGAGCCCUGUGGGUAGGAUUGUCGGCUGGUUGCCGACGUUUGGCCUUUGAGCAUAUCAGCAUUGACUGCCCGAUACUCGUCGCAUUUCACGAACACUGACGGUCUGAUCCACUGCAGGGAGUGUUCUUUUCCGGAAAAGUGGUUGCAGGUGUCAACCCAUGAGCCCUAGAGGGGUUAUAUGCAUGGGAGAGUAGUAGUGGCAUAGGCUUGAGGUUUAUGGUGCGGACAAAUAGAGCAGCAGAUUUCAGAUUGGGUAUAUUUGGACUUCUUGACCGAUUGACGCAUAUAGUUAUAGCAGCGGUUGUUGUUUGUAUACCUUCAGUUCUUUCUUUACACUUGUUUGCUACUAUAGUUUAGCUGCAUGUAUACUUUCAGUUGUUCAUUACAGUAGCGGUAGUUGUGCUUUCAUUUAUAGUUCUAUCUCUUUCGUUCAUUAUUGUUGCUAAGGUAGAAAACUAUUUUUCCUUUUCACAAAAUCCAAGAGUUCUAUAGUUUAUUCAAAAUUACAUGAAUUCGAAUAAUAUAAACCAACUAAACCAUGAAAUAUUAAAACUAUUAAUAACAAAAGUAAACAGGGUAGGAACUAAACCAACAAACUGGGUCGGAAGCUUUAGCGACCACUACGAACGUGUCUCACGUCUCGUCUCAACCUCACCACCCGUCAUACCUGAAAAAUAGUGGGGGAGGUGAGAACAUGUAAACAUGUCUCCCAUCCCAGUGGGUACCGCAAGCCGAUGAAGGCAAGGAGUACUCACCGGAUCAGGAAGAGAUAAACAACAAUAUGGGUAGGUUUCCGUGUAGGGAAACAGUUUUCAAAAGAGUUUCCUCGUGGCUUCUAUGUUUAAACACUGAAUGGUAAAUAUCUGGUAAAUGGUGAAUGAGUGUUGAGUAUUGUAUAUUCAUGUAUUGUGGUUGUAUCCUGGUCAUACUCUGUUUGUACGUACUUUUGUACUUGUGCGACGCCGUGCAAAUAUAGGGGAGACUCUGUCCGUGUGAACAGUGAAUUACCUGUAUUUGUGGCGGAUCUGGCAUACCUUGGGGUUAGGCUUAAAAAAAAAAAAAUUUUAGACGCUUUUCCGCUGUGUUUCAAACUAAAAUGGACCCCGGGGCAUGACAGAUUAAAGUGGUAUCAGAGCAGGUUACAACCACAAUACCAUUCACAGGUUGUUUUGAAAAAUGAAAAUAACUGAACCAUUGGUUAGGUUGACCCAUAGCUUCACCUACGGUAUAUAGGCACGUGAGUGCGGGGUUUGGACUUAUGUCCUGGGUUGCAUUCGAGUUGGGUAAACUCGGAAUGCAUGGUUAUUUCCGUAUGUGUUAUGUUUUUUGCUCAAGCUAGUGUCUAAGUCGGGAAUAGUGGCGGUUUACUUUUCGUGCAUCGAGUGGUGGGACGAUGUUCCCCUGGUGGUGCCACUCCUGUCAGGGGGGGGGGCCUUGAAAGGCCAGGUGAGAUUUUCGGGCCUAGGCGAGUAUUUUAACAGCUCACGUCCGGACCACUCUUCCUACUUAGGACACGAGAGCUACUGCGAGUGUCUCUACGGAGACGGUAUUGAGACCUGUUACGGUCGCGACUUCUGUGGGGCUACUAGGGUGUAACCCAGGGUUUGGAUAGUGAUUGUUCAGUCGAUUGCAUUGUUGGUGUUGCUUCCUCAGAUCUUUGGGUAGGGUUGUGAUGCCUACAUCUCCUCCUUGAUUGCUGAUGAAAUCAACGGUUUGGAUCUUUUGACCUUUACCUCGUUCUUUCGUCAAAUUGAUAUGUACUAGAGUUGGAUUGACACAGUUUUGGUGUCAGGUCUCUGUUGAUGCAUACAUCGUGUGCGGUUAUCCUAUCACCUAAUUGGUAUGUUGUGGGUUAGUCUGUGGUUUGUGGUACGGUUCGUUGUAUUGCCGGAGUUCUCGGAACUCUGAUUAUAGCUCGGUUGUGGUGCGGGAAUCGGUUGGAGAAACCGUUUCCUAAAGCCUCAGUUUGUGCGGUUCGUGGCUUAGAGUCACAAGCAGCUUUCCGAUGUUGAAAGCUUUGGGACUCCCUGAGAGUCGGUUCUAGCUCAUUUUUGGUUCGAACGUCGGUUUGCGAAGUCGAUGUUUCGACAGUUUUGGUUGGGGAUGUUUGGUUCUGUAGUGAGAUAUAAAGUGGUUUCGUAUUUCAAUGUGUCAUACUUCUAACUUGUUGUUAGUAGUGGAUCUUCGGAUAUUUCGCUUUUCUUUUGAUAAGUACAUUGGCUGUAGACAAUGUACUGUCGAAAGUUGGGAUGAAAUACCCUUUUUCCCUGUUUGGGAUUUUUGGAUUGGGUCGGUAUUUUCUCUAGAUUGUCUGUGGGAAGCUAGAGUGGUGGUCAUCUUUGACCACGUAGUGGGCCUUGGAUUUUUCCUGGCAGGUUUGCGAAGUUGAUUUAUUAUCACUACAGGUGGUUUUGAUUUUAGUUCGAGUCUUGGUGUUCGUAGCUCUUUAGUUGUGCUUCCCACAGCUAAAAAGUUUGUUGGUUAGUAGUCUAGGUCUGUUGUCGUGAAGUUCGGAAUCAGUGGUUGAGUGACUUGAACUUGGUUGUUGGCUUUGAUUGUCACCGUAUGGGAUAGUGUGUUAGGGUUGUGACUUGGCUUGUCGUGCAACCUUGGGAUGGUAUGCUUGUCCGAUUAUUUGGUGACAGGUGCGUCUAGGUCUCAAUGAGACAGUUGUUUGGUGUUGCUGGGAACACCGAUCGCUAGGGUCCCUUGUAGGACCGCAGCGACAGGGUCUCGUAGAGACAGGUGUUGAGCAUCACCGAUGGUUGGUAUCGCAUAGUGCGAUUGGCAAUCCUGUGCACCAAGUGAUGGACUUGCAUGGUGGGCUUGUUGGUUUAAUUGAACCGGUGUCUAUUGAGCAAACAAAUUGUCGAGCUCUUACUUUAGUCAGUCUUGGACCUUUUGGUCAGGUGGAAGGUGAGGUUUUGGGACGGAGACUGUUGAAUGCCAAAGGCGGCUUUCCAUGGAUGAGGACUUGACUUGGCAGUUUGUGUGUUCGGUUAUUGGGAGACCGUAGUACCUGAGGCAGAUGCAAUCGACUUGAGUUUUAGGAGAACGUUUCGUUUUCGCUCGUGGUGAGCAGGUUGAUAUUGUUGGCUAGUCGGAAAAUAAUUUGUUUCUGUCUACGUAAUUAGACUCCAGACUUGUGGUGUUGACUCGUGUCUCUUUUUCGUGAGCUAGCGGCGUAGUCGAGUCGGUUGAGGCUAUACGGACCAAGGUUACAGGAUGGUGUUGAUCCCGGUGAGUUAUGGUCCGUAGACUUUGGAUUGGUACGUUUCUCUCGUCUUGUCCGAGUGGAACCGCAUUUCUAUUUUCCCCACCUUUAGAAAGUUGAUUUGUCCUGACUCAUGGAAAAUGUAAUUGACCAGUACUCGAAGGUUAUACUGUAUUCGGUGGGUACGUGGUCAAGUUUCGGGGACGAAACUUCUUUUAAGGGGGGGAUAAUGUAAGGACUGAGUUUUUGACAGUGCAAGUAAACUCUCUGUUGAUGAUGUUUAUGUGUGUAACUUAAUUACAUAAGCACUCGUCAAGUUUCAGGAGAAACUGAGCUAGAACGGAGAAGUUACGCGAUCUCUAAGUUUCAUUUAAAGUGAAUAGUAACUCGGUUUUCCUGAGAAGCCACGAUGUGAAGUUGGCUUCAGGCUCGUAUCGAACUCCGUUCAUAGCAGUCCAUUAGCUCGUUUCGACCAGUUCAGCUGUUCUGAAACUUUUGGCGCUGACGGAUUUUGAGUUUGACACACGGAUUUCGAGAAAAUCCAAAAAUACAUGUUUUAUAUGUAUUUGUGCGUUGUUUCUUCAGUUGGAAGAAAGAUUGGAUUUUGUCGUGAAUCCGUGGUCGAUCGAGAUGAAUCGAAAUCAUAGCUUUGUUGUCUCCGUCGUGUUGAUCGCACUGAUGCGAUCCGUUCGCAAAUCUGACGGACGGAUCUGCGGAGAUUGCGCGUUGAUCGAGGAGAGGUCGGUGAUGGUAAAACGGUAAUUUUGCAAAAAUCGCGACAUUUUAUGUACCGUUUCGCGUGAGAUCGCUCAUGGAGGGGUAUUCAUGCGUUUUACUCGUGCUGUGAGGGACCGAAUUGCAAAUUAUCGAGUUUGGAGGGACUUUGACGCAAUUGAUUGCCUUGCAUAUAUAUUAAUCUAGGGUUUUGCUUUAAGAAACCCUAACCCUAACCCAUCCCCCGGCCAACCUAGCCUCCUAGCCGCCUCAGCUCUCUUCAGCCCACCUCGUGUUCAUGCCCCGGCCGCCGGAAAACCCUCCUCAGCCUUUCCCCCUUUGCUCUCUCCCCAACAUUCUACACCCUCGGCCGUGGAACCCGGGGGAACUUCAAAUCAUCCUUGGAACCCUUCUUCUGGCCGAGAUGCACCCUCCAGCACCGUCACCGGCCGUUCCAGCCGCCUGCACACGCCGCCGGCGCCGCCCGAGCAAGUCGCGGCCAGCCCAGGGUCAACUCAGGCCGAGCCGACUUCAGCUCGAGGCCCGCGUGUUGGAACCACCCCAGCUUGGUCGCGCAGACUCCCUCCGGCUUCCGACGACAUCCUGCUCGCCGCCCCGCCGUCCCGAAGCGGCCCCGGAGCCGCCCUAGCUUCUGGCGGCCAGCUGCGGUCACCUACACCGAGCUUGGGUGGGUUCGUGAUCCGCGCGCCGCCGACACUCCAGAUCGGUCGCGUCGUCAUCCCUCGAUCUCUGGCGACCUCUGGCGUGCGUCCCGGGUCGUCCCCGUAGCCGCCGGCCGCCGCCCGAGCCCUUGCGGCCAUCCUAGAACUCGUGCGAGCCGGGGCUGGGCCCGUACCUUUUCUGAGUGUCGCCGCCGCCCACCGUCGGGAGCCUCACCCUCCCCUCGACCUCUCGCGACGGGUCGUCGCCGUCCGGAGCUCCUUCGGCCGCCGCUUUGCCGCCGCGGACCAGUUGAACCCGAGAGCAAGCCGCAGCUUGAUCUCCUCCGCUCCGCCACCGGCCGCCUCUCGCCGCCGGCCAGCAGGUCCCUCGGACUUCACCAACCGGCCGCACCCUUCCCCGGCCGGAUCUUCCGCCGUCCCGCCGCCGGCGACGAGCCCUAGCUCCCGCUAGUCCGGUAAGCAUUGUUUAUGUUGACAGCACUUAGUUUAGAGUUCCUGUCACAUUUCUGGUGAUCCUAGGAUACUUUGACACUCCGGGAAGUGAGCACGAUGAUCUCAGAUCCGUGCUGAACAUCGUACUCACCUCAGACAGCGUCAACGAUGCCCUGGUUAGCGAAUUAGAGGCGAUCUUAGCGCUGUGCGCGCUAUUUUGCUGAUUUCUGCGUCGCUUGUGCGCAUGCCACAGUGGCCGGCAGUGCUCGGAAAGGUGAGCACGGCCUCCGGCAUGCCGAGACCUGUCAGCGGGUGUCUCGGCUCGGCUGAUUGACUGCUAGUUUGUGUCGACGGACCAUAAAAGCGCUGUAAUCACAUAAAAUAAUGUGAUUUCGACCAGUCGGAAGGGCUUUUGUGCAAGUUUGUCUGUCAUGGCUGCUGUUGGCAGCAGGUAUAGGCUAAGGGUAACCUCUGGACUGAUCGUCCAAGGCCCCAAGCCUUUGCAAGUGUCGGAAAGAGAUUUUUCGGCGCGUUUCUCGGCGAAAUCCGCCGACGGAACGCAGGAUCGGUUCGGAUUCCUUCUGACAGUGCUUCGUGAUGAAUUGUGUAGUCGCUGAGCCUUGUUGUCUGGUCACUCGCAUCAUUUUGAGGGUUCGAAAAAUAACGGGUGAGGGACGGUAGGUUCCGGUGUCGAAUUAGACACUUUCGGGAACCCGGAUUGAAACGAUUAUCCAACGAUAAUUGUUUCAACGUGAGGAGUGGUGUUUGCUGCCAUGAUGCACGAUUACUUAUGUUUAGUGGCAGCGGAUGACUCGUAGCAUGAGUCGGUACAUUCUGGGACAGUUCGUGGGUCCCGACAGAGUCCUGGUGCGAUUUCGGGACUUCCGGCGAGUUACGGUAGUCGAUUUUGGGAAACUGAUCUCCAUGGGUUUGUUAGUGCGAUUAUGAUUUAGUAUUUAUUAGUUGUGGGUUAGACACUAACCCGGUGGACCCUCCUUAGGUCCAGUUGACAUCCUUUUGCAGUCAGGAGACAGACGCGACAUCCUUACAGGUGGGUACUUCGAUCUGACGUCGGUACAGUGGUGCACGCUUGGUGAUUGUUUCUUACCCUUACUCUUCUGUUGUUAUUAUUGCAUAGUAUAUAUUGAGCCUUGCACCUAUGUUAUUUCAUUAUACUCUACUCGUUGUUUGCAUGCUUAGUAUCCUGAGUAGGAGUAGAGUGGUUCUAUCUAUGUGCGUAUCUGUUGACCUGGUUGGUCGAUUUUUGUACUUCAUAUCAGUGACUUGGUUGGUCGAUUCUUGUGCUUCAUAUCAGUGACUUGGUAGGUCGAUUCUUGUACUUCGUAUCAGUGACUUGGUUGGUUGGUUCUCAUAUCUCGUAUUUGUGACACAUUCGGUCGGUUCCUUGACUUCUGUCGUUCGAUGACCGUUGUGGUCGAUGUACCAUAGAGGGGUUGGAUUGUUGGCUAGAGGCCGACGGUAGUUCUAGAUUCUAUUGAUACACCGUGAUAACCUAUUCGUCGAUUCGUUGUGCAUAUAUCCUAGUUGAUCUGAGUGGUCAGUCCUUGUGGUUCAUUGAGCAGUAUUUGCAUAUGUUUGAGAGGAUGUUGAUGUUGUCCCAUCCUAGUUGACCUGAUUGGUCAGUUCUUGUGCUUCCUUACAGUUGAUGACCUAUACGGUCGAUGAGCCCUGUGGGUAGGAUUGUCGGCUGGUAGCUGACGUUUGGCCUUUGAGCAUAUCAACAUUGACCGCCCGAUACUCGUCGCAUUUCACGAACACUGCCGGUCUGAUCCACCGCAGGGAGUGUUCUUUUCCGGAAAAGUGGUUGCAGGUGUCAACUCGUGAGCCCUUGAGGGGUUAUAUGCAUGGGAGAGUAGUAGUGGCAUAGGCUUGAGGUUAGCGGUGCGGACCAAUAGAGCAGCAGAUUUCAGAUUGGGUAUAUUUGGACUUCUUGACCGAUUGACGCAUAUAGCUAUAGCAGCGGUUGUUGUUUGUAUACCUUCAGUUCUUUCUUUACACUUGUCUUGCUACUAUAGUUUAGCUGCAUGUAUACUUUCAGUUGUUCAUUACAGUAGCGGUAGUUGUGCUUUCAUUUAUAGUUCUAUCUCUUUCGUUCAUUAUUGUUGCUACUGUAUUUAGUAUUUCACAUACCCAUAUUGUUGUUUAUCUCUUCCUGAUCCGGUGAGUACUCCUCGCCUUCAUCGGCUUGCGGUA